AGCCUGCGAUUUCAUCCCUCCUUAAGAAGUCUCCCUUUUUGUUUUUUUUCCUGUCGCCAAGUGGGAACAAGACAUAUUAUGAUUUCAGGAAACCAGUGUUUUGGAGCAGGUUGUGUAAUGAAAGGCUUGGUUGUAGGGUUGUGGGGUAGAAAUAAUGAGCCAAAGGAAAUAUUGAGGUGACCACUAAACAAAAGAAGCCAAAGCUAUCUGAGCUAGAGCCGAAGAUGGUGAAAUGUACUGAAAUUAUGUUGCGAGUCUACCUUAUUUCAUGUUUUUGCGUAAUUGUGUACGUUGUAUAAUGCUUUUGGUAGUAUUGAUAUUAUUGAAAAACACCUGCCCAAUAGUAUCAUACGGUGUAUCUUUUUUCUUCUUUUUCUCGCUCAAUUGCUUCAUAUCGAUGUUUAUGUAUCUCACAUGCAUUGUUACAGUUCUUUUUUUUUUUUUUUUCAAAUCGAACUCUUCUAAAAAAGUUAUAUCUAUUUCGGUACGUGAUCACUCAAGAGAAUAAAGAUAUUCAACUGCAUAAAAGGAUUUACAGGAAAAAAAAAAGAAAAAAAAAAUAAUCGCCAAACAACAAGUGAAUCCGGAAAUUCAAUUUUUGUUGCAAUGUAAACCAUUAACCAAUAUAGAUAAUGAUAACGUUAAAUCGGAUACAAACAUAACACACGCACGCGCGAGCGAAACCCUUCCGCACAACCGAAAUUUUGAAACACUCAACGCACAUGUUUCCCCUGCAACUUGAACCCUAUGAAUAUCCAACUGUGCUAGAGGUGCAACUGAUGAUCAAAGUACCCCAUCUGAUGAUCCAAUCGAAUCAUAUUAUAGAUAUUUCUUGCAACUUUAUAAUAUCUGUGAUAUUAAAAUAUUACACAAGUUAAAAUAUUAAGUACAGAUAUUUCCUCUAAUUCAAGUUAUUCAACUGUGAAUGGCACGCGGUUGUUCUGGAGUUACGAUCGUAAUGUAAUUAUAAAUACAUGUAGAUAACGGUUGAUAUGUAUCUCCAGGUGUUUUACCAAGAAGGUCACUCAUUUCGUUCGAAGUAGUCAGCGAUCUCUGCCGGACUACAUCAAUCAUUACGUCGGCCAAGCGUGUGCGAUUUGCAGUCAAGAUCCCACUACCACCGGUCGAUUUAAGACAAAAGAGACAUAUAUCGUAGUCUGGUGUCUUUCUGCAUGUUUCCUGGAUAAGAUUUUCGUCCAUUGGAAAGAAAACUUGGCUGCAUUGGCUUAUUGGAAGGAAUAUGAGAAAACAAAUAAGUUGAAUGAGAAAUAUGGGGGUUGAUGGAUUCAUCAUCUUUUCUGCACUUUAGGGUUUUAUUAAUGGUGUUUGCGAGAGGAGUGAGUACGUGAGUCUCUUAUAUAGGGUACGUACAUAAGGCAAAAAGGGAAAGAAUGUAUUCAAUUAACAAUUAAAUGUACAGUAAUUAAGUACAGAGAAAUGCUUUCUGAUUGCUUUCUAUAUGUUAAGAACCAUAUUUAUUCCCCUUUCAAAAAAAAAAAAAAAAAAAGAA